GAUGAAGAACGCAGCGAAAUGCGAUAACUAAUGUGAAUUGCAGAAUUCCGUGAAUCAUCGAGUCUUUGAACGCACAUUGCGCCCCCUGGUAUUCCGGGGGGCAUGCCUGUCCGAGCGUCAUUGCUGCCCAUCAAGCACGGCCUGUGUGUUGGGUCCUCGUCCCCCCCGGGGGACGUGCCCGAAAGGCAGCGGCGGCACCGCGUCCGGUCCUCGAGCGUAUGGGGCUUUGUCACCCGCUCUGCAGGCCCGGCCGGCGCUGGCCGACGCGAAAGCAACCAUUUUUUCUCCAGGUUGACCUCGGAUCAGGUAGGGAUACCCGCUGAACUUAAGCAUAUCAAUAAGCGGAGGA
rnacentral:misc_RNA from 1 species